rnacentral:rRNA from 1 species
UACAGAGGUCUCAAGCGUUGUUCGGAUUCAUUGGGCGUAAAGGGUGCGUAGGCGGCUUUCUAAGUCGGAUGUGAAAACUCUGGGCUCAACCCAGAGCCUGCAUCUGAAACUGGAGAGCUAGGGUUUUGGAGGGGAAAGCGGAAUUCCAGGUGUAGCGGUGAAAUGCGUAGAUAUCUGGAGGAACACCGGUGGCGAAGGCGGCUUUCUGGACAAAUACCGACGCUGAGGCACGAAAGCUAGGGGAGCAAACAGG